rnacentral:rRNA from 1 species
GAUGAACGCUAGCGGGAGGCCUAACACAUGCAAGCCGAGCGGUAUUGUUUCUUCGGAAAUGAGAGAGCGGCGUACGGGUGCGUAACACGUGUGCAACCUGCCUUUAUCUGGGGGAUAGCCUUUCGAAAGGAAGAUUAAUACUCCAUAAUAUAUUGAACGGCAUCGUUUAAUAUUGAAAGCUCCGGCGGAUAGAGAUGGGCACGCGCAAGAUUAGCUAGUUGGUGAGGUAACGGCUCACCAAGGCGAUGAUCUUUAGGGGGCCUGAGAGGGUGAUCCCCCACGCUAGUACUGAGACACGGACCAGACUCCUACGGGAGGCAGCAGUGAGGAAUAUUGGUCAAUGGGUGCAAGCCUGAACCAGCCAUCCCGCGUGAAGGACGACUGCCCUAUGGGUUGUAAACUUCUUUUGUAUAGGGAUAAACCUACCCUCGUGAGGGUAGCUGAAGGCACUAUACGAAUAAGCACCGGCUAACUCCGUGCCAGCAGCCGCAGUAA